GCAAGCUUCCCAAUCUGCAUCAGA
rnacentral:siRNA from 1 species